GACGAACGCUGGCGGCGUGCUUAACACAUGCAAGUCGAACGGAAAGGCCCUGCUUUUGUGGGGUGCUCGAGUGGCGAACGGGUGAGUAACACGUGAGUAACCUGCCCUUGACUUUGGGAUAACUUCUGGAAACUGGGGCUAAUACCGGAUAGGAGCUCCUGCUGCAUGGUGGGGGUUGGAAAGUUUCGGCGGUUGGGGCUGGACUGGCGGCUUAUCAGCUUGUUGGUGGGGUAGUUGCUUACCAAGGCUUUGACGGGUAGCCCGCCUGGGAGGGUGAACGGGGACAAGACUACUACGGGAGGCCGCAGUCGGGAACGGUAGGCAGUGGGGGAAAGUAUGACGGAGCGACGCGGCGUGUGUGAUGACGGCGCUGGGAGCGUAAAGACGUGUUUCUAGUUAAGAACCAAUGUGUCCGUAAAUGUGGCGGUAGUGACGGUAAUGGGUAAAAAAGCAACGGCUAACUACGUG
rnacentral:rRNA from 1 species